CCUACGGGAGGCAGCAGUAGGGAAUCUUCCACAAUGGACGAAAGUCUGAUGGAGCAACGCCGCGUGAGUGAAGAAGGGUUUCGGCUCGUAAAGCUCUGUUGGUAGUGAAGAAAGAUAGAGGUAGUAACUGGCCUUUAUUUGACGGUAAUUACUUAGAAAGUCACGGCUAACUACGUGCCAGCAGCCGCGGUAAUACGUAGGUGGCAAGCGUUGUCCGGAUUUAUUGGGCGUAAAGCGAGUGCAGGCGGUUCAAUAAGUCUGAUGUGAAAGCCUUCGGCUCAACCGGAGAAUUGCAUCAGAAAUUGUUGAGCUGGAGUGAAGAAGGGGAGAGUGGAACUCCAUGUGUAGGGGGGGAAUGCGAAGAUAAAUGGAAGAACACCAGUGGCGAAGGCGGCUCGCUGGUCUGCAACGGACGCUGAGGCUCGAAAGCAUGGGUAGCGAACAGGAUGAGAUACCCUGGUAGUC
rnacentral:rRNA from 1 species